UACAGAGACGGCAAGCGUUGCUCGGAUUCAUUGGGCGUAAAGGGUCCGCAGGUGGUCGGGCAAGUCGGAUGUGAAAUCCCGCGGCUUAACCGCGGAGGGUCAUUCGAAACUGCUCGACUGGAGGACUGGAGAGGAGACUGGAAUUGUCGGUGUAGCGGUGAAAUGCGUAGAUAUCGACAAGAACACCAGUGGCGAAGGCGGGUCUCUGGCCAGUUCCUGACACUCAGGGACGAAAGCGUGGGGAG
rnacentral:rRNA from 1 species